GGCCAGAUCGAGCGGAGAAAUGGUGUGUUGUCCUUGAAUCGAAGGAAGACAAACAUAAAGAUGAAGUGCUUAAUUCAAGGUCACACAAUGUCGGGGAUGGACCUCCAGAUUUCCUUACUGGAAAACAAGCUCAGGGCUCCCACUGAUUGUACAUUAUGAGACGGAGUCUUGCUAUGUUGCCCAGGCUGGUCUUGAACUCCUCACCUCAAGCGAUCCUCUCGUCUUGGCCUCCCAAGUGUCAGGAUUACAGGCAUGUGCUAUCACACCCAACCUGAUACAUUGCCUUUAUAAAUUUUUUUUUCUUUAUUCUAAAAACCAGAAAAAACAAAACUGGAUACAUGUGCAGAACAUGCAGCAGGGAAUUUCUUCCACUUGCAGACCAAGUGUGUUGGGGACUUGAGAUGCGUACAUGAGUGUUUGUGAUGUUUCCUGCCGAAAGCACAGGUGAGACGUGGUCUUGUAACACAGUGGUUAAGAAUGUGACUUUGGAGCCAGCCUGCUAGGGGCUGAAUUCUGACUCAGCCAUUUACUAACUGUGUGACCUUAGGGAGGAGGACCUGGUUGAUAGAAGAAUUUAUCUCGUAGUCUUAACAUCCACUGUAAUUCCAAACUUUGAGGACGAUAGAGAUCAGUGGGCUUUGACUGCCCAGCAUGCAGUCUCCAUUCUUAGGUGGGUUCCCAAGCCUGUAAAAUGUAAGCCUUAUGCUGCUGAGGGCCAUCUUGCCACCCUGAGGGAAACGCUGCCUGAGAAUGAAACCAGCAUAAGUAAAAGCUGAGCUGUGAGAUGGAGCAAGAUGAAGGCCACAUGACAUCUUUGGAGCACCUGGAUCUAACUGUGCCUUAAGCUAGUCUAACCCUGAACAUUUCA
rnacentral:antisense_RNA from 1 species